GACGAACGCUGGCGGCGUGCUUAACACAUGCAAGUCGAACGGUGAACCUCUUCGGAGGGGAUCAGUGGCGAACGGGUGAGUAACACGUGGGCAACCUGCCCCCGGCUCUGGGAUAACUCCAAGAAAUUGGGGCUAAUACCGGAUGUUCACCGCUUCCCGCAUGGGUGGUGGUGCAAAGGGUUUCCGGCUGGGGAUGGGCCCGCGGCCUAUCAGCUUGUUGGUGGGGUAGUGGCCUACCAAGGCGACGACGGGUAGCCGGCCUGAGAGGGUGACCGGCCACACUGGGACUGAGACACGGCCCAGACUCCUACGGGAGGCAGCAGUGGGGAAUAUUGCGCAAUGGGCGGAAGCCUGACGCAGCGACGCCGCGUGGGGGAUGACGGCCUUCGGGUUGUAAACCUCUUUCAGCAGGGACGAAGCGAAAGUGACGGUACCUGCAGAAGAAGCACCGGCCAACUACGUG
rnacentral:rRNA from 1 species